GAAAUAUUGGCAGCACAUUUACUGAAAUUGGAACGAUGGAUAAAGAUUAGCAUGGCCCAGCAGAAGGAUGGCACGCAGAUUCAUGAAGCAAAGUAUAUAUUG
ensembl:snRNA U6 U6 spliceosomal RNA